AGUGAACGCUGGCGGUAGGCCUAACACAUGUAAGUCGAACGGUAGCACAGUAAGAGCUUGCUCUUACGGGUGGCGAGUGGCGGACGGGUGAGGAAUACAUCGGAAUCUACUUUUUCGUGGGGGAUAACGUAGGGAAACUUACGCUAAUACCGCAUACGACCUACGGGUGAAAGCAGGGGAUCUUCGGACCUUGCGCGAUUGAAUGAGCCGAUGUCGGAUUAGCUAGUUGGCGGGGUAAAGGCCCACCAAGGCGACGAUCCGUAGCUGGUCUGAGAGGAUGAUCAGCCACACUGGAACUGAGACACGGUCCAGACUCCUACGGGAGGCAGCAGUGGGGAAUAUUGGACAAUGGGCGCAAGCCUGAUCCAGCCAUACCGCGUGGGUGAAGAAGGCCUUCGGGUUGUAAAGCCCUUUUGUUGGGAAAGAAAAGCAGCAGGUUAAUACCCCGCUGUUCUGACGGUACCCAAAGAAUAAGCACCGGCUAACUUCGUG
rnacentral:rRNA from 1 species